rnacentral:lncRNA from 1 species
GGUGUGAAGGAAGUCAAGAGAAAGGAGUACGAACAAACGGCACCCAAUUUGAAGGUCGAAUGAAUGAUCUAAGCCCCAGUAUGAUUCUCAGGCAAAAUGAUGUCUAGUGGCGGACAUUGGGAUUAUUUAUUUUAAGCAUAUAUAAGGGGGGUAUGAAUGGUGACAGCCUACCAGCCUCCCCCGGGUGUGUCGACAGAUGGCCACCCCAAGUGUGCUGCCUUGAGGGACAACCUCAAGGGCCUGCCUUGGCAUGUCAAAGGAAUGCGCAAGGUACUCAUAGGGCUCGGGAACCCUAUGGGCAACGCAAGGUCGGGUGGACUAGCGUUGGGCGUUGGAAAAGGCUAGAGGUUGGCUAUAUGAACCGACAAGCCC